UUUCAUAAAGGUCAAGUCUUUCUCCAAAUCUUUCUUUUUGAAUACGAGUUUGAUAAACCACGUCACACUCUGACGCAACUUCCACUAAAUCAGAACUUUCUUUCCAAUCCACUCCUUUUGAUGUCAAAUAGUCUUUUAUAUCAUCCUAUACGUGUAAAUAUCAUAAGUGACAUACCAAGGUUGUGCUUUAUAGCGACACAAAUGGCAAGAUUCAAAAUGACAAUAUAUCUAUAUCUAUAUUUACAUCUGCCGAGAUACAUUGUGAUCGUAAUCCCAAAUCCAUUUUCUAACUACCAGUUAUUAUAAAUCUCAAACAUACACUAUGAGUAAAAAUAAGAAUGUUCAACCAUUACCUUCAUUUUUACCACAUCAGGGGAGACAAAAUAAAUUUUUACAUCCUUGUACUUUGCAAGCAAGUAGGCCAAUGAACGAACCGUCCUCCCAUUAGCUAGGUCUCCCACAAGCCCAACUUUUAUACCAUCAAGCUUUCCAAUCUCUCUUUCAAUGGUAUAGACAUCCAAAAGUGCCUGAGUAGAGUGAUUGAAAUAGUAGCUAAGCUUUGAACUCACAUUAUUAUAGUUGUAUUUCAAUUACAGACUAUCACAAAACUAGACCUUGAACCUGCCUCAAGAAGUCUUAUACAGCAUUUGAAAGAUAACAAAGAAAAAGUUUCUUUUUAAAAAAAUGAACACAGAAUCUGUUGAAGCAUGAAAGUGCUUAAUAACACAUGCAAAUGGGAAGAUUAUAUAGUUACAAUAGGCUAAAGUCAGGGUCUACAAAAGAACGAGUUCAAGUUAACACACUCUAAAUUUUUUACUAGACCUUGGUCAAAUGUUUGUGUUGAUCAUAAUUAAUAGUUUAUCAACGUGGAUGUUAGUGAGAGGUGAAACAUAGCAGAAACAAAAACUCGUGUUCUGUCUUUUAAUAUUUGAAUGUCAUGGAACUCUAUUUUGAUCAUCAUCAUGUUUGAUGCUUUUAAAAUUUUCAUCAAAUUUUGGGUGGCCUUUAUACUUUUCAAAAUCCGGAAUGCAUAUACUUUUUCACAAUCAUUUAUGUUAAACCAAAAAAACAAAAUGCAUCCAUGAUACAAACUAGAAGUAUUGAAAAAUGGACUAGCAGUGAGAUGAAUAGCUUAAAUCAGUUUCAUCUAGCAGACUAAUCUACACCCUAUCCAAUCUAUUUACUUUUAUAUUCAAAAUCUUUUUAAGGAAUUGCCAAAAUAAAGAGAUAAUUUCCCCAACAUAAUAUAAUCCAAAACACAGGUACUUUGGUUGCAACAAAAUCCAACAUGGAAACAUGCAUACCUGGCUCGGAUGUUGUCCAGGACCAUCCCCAGCAUUGACUAUUGGAACACUAGCUAUAGCUGCAGCUCUUCUGGCAGCACCACUUUCAAAGUGUCGAAGCACAAUUAAGUCAGAGUAACCCUCAACUGUUCUUAUUGUAUCUGCAGGUAAAACACCAUAAAAAUCUAUAAAGAAAGAAAUCCACAUUAAAAUUGAAAUUAAAAAGGAAACCGAAGGAAUUCAAUCAAAAGUCAAAACCUUCNNNNNNNNNNNNNNNNNNNNNNNNNNNNNNNNNNNNNNNNNNNNNNNNNNNNNNNNNNNNNNNNNNNNNNNNNNNNNNNNNNNNNNNNNNNNNNNNNNNNNNNNNNNNNNNNNNNNNNNNNNNNNNNNNNNNNNNNNNNNNNNNNNNNNNNNNNNNNNNNNNNNNNNNNNNNNNNNNNNNNNNNNNNNNNNNNNNNNNNNNNNNNNNNNNNNNNNNNNNNNNNNNNNNNNNNNNNNNNNNNNNNNNNNNNNNNNNNNNNNNNNNNNNNNNNNNNNNNNNNNNNNNNNNNNNNNNNNNNAAAAUUGAAAUUAAAAAGGAAACCGAAGGAAUUCAAUCAAAACCUUCAAGCGUCUCUCCUUUAGCUGCAGACGAAAAUUCUCUAGCAUUUUCAGUUGUUAAAACCUCUCCACCUAAUCUUCUCAUGGCAGACUCGAAUGAAAGCCUAGUUCUAGUAGAGGGCUCAUAAAAUAAGGUAGCCAUAAGAUAACCCUUUAAAAUCUGGCUUUCAGGAGAAUUCCUUUCAAUAUUCUCCAUAUCUCGUGCAACUUCAAAAAUGGCAUUGAGAAUAUCUCUAUCAAACUGUUGAGCAUCAAGAACAUCAUCAAGUUGAAAUUUAUGCCCCUCUGAAAAACAAUGGAUUCCAUCUCUUUGCCAGGUUUUUUUCAUUUUGUCACAUUUUGACAAAUUGUUCAUGCAUAAAAAUCUUGAAAUAGGAUAGCAUGUUGAUUUUAAAUAACUAGGUUCCUUAUAGGAGAUUUUGCUAUGACAGCGUACAACAUCUUUAGGGCAUUUUGAUAUCGUUGGAGCAAGCACAUCCAUGUGCGUUGAGCAGAAGAAAAGUGAAGAUGAAGCAGCCAUUGCAGAAGAAACUGACCCUUAAAAAAGCAAAGAGGUUAUUAGUUGGCUAAACAGAUAUUGUUUUCAAACCAUCCUUCCAAGUAAAACAACAAAGCAUUCAAGUAAAGGAUCACAUAAAAUUGUCUCUGCAUCGGAGGUUUCUAUCGUUGAAAAUUUUGGCAGCUUUUUCUCAUAAUAGCUCAUGAGAAACAAAACACACAUGAUCAUUUCCCCCAAUUCUAAAACAACAAAGAUACUCGAGCACUCUAGAUUUUCAAACCAUUUUGUCAUAUCCUGAUAUGAACAAUACCAACUUAUUGGAAUCCCGACCAUCAGUGUCAGGACAGUCAUAACACAAUUACAGAUACUAGACUAUUUCAACCACCCUACAUACUAGUUUGUAAAAUUCUGCUUUGAACUUGAAACUUAAUCACUAAUAAUUAGUCAUGACAAAAUUUAAAGAUAUCAGGCAGCCAUUUGAAGAUCCCAAACCCUUGAUCACAAAAUUAUCCCAGACGAAACUAUUAUUCCUAGUGUCAAAAUUGGAUCGAUCUUUAAACAAUAAACCAGAAUUCAAACACAAAAACAACAAAUGGAAAUGAGAGACAACAAUAAGAACUCAAUGCACCUUUGCACCACCUGCUCAUGAAAUAUAUCAAAAACAAAUAUUCAGACUUGAACUGCAACCUUUACAGCAAUAUCUUAAGUGUCCAAGCUCAGUAGCGCCGAUACUUAUGAUCGAAGGUGUGUCCCAGUAUCCAAGACGUGUCAAUGUCCAACACCAACAAAACACUGACACACCUAAUUACACUCAAAUAUGUCAUUUUCUCAAAAUUUUAUCCCGUGUCGGUGUUUGUGUUUCAUAGUGUGGAAGUCUAUCAAGCACGGACAUAGACACGUCGACACUAAUAAUAAUCCGAGAAAAUUACAUAAUUCAGUAUAAUUAUAAGUGUCGGUGUCCGACACCGCGCCUAAUCUGAAGAGUGUCCGUGCUUCACAGGUGGAAGUAUUCUACAUGGAUGACCCAUCAUCUAUGUAAGGAGACCAAUGAAACACAUAAAAAGAAGUCCACAAAAAAAAUACCCACAUGCAAAAAUUCAAUAUUUACACCUCUAUGGACAAAAUAGUAACAAGCUAUAUUAUAUUCUUAUAUACACAUGAAGGAUAGACAACAAGCUUGAAGGAAAAAGAUACUGUACAUAGACACCUAUAUAUACCUGUGUUUAAAUGGCAGUGCAGUUACCUCUGGACUACAAAGCUGGUGAAAUUGAGAAUAGAAGAAGAUCUUUUCAUUUCAGUGAAUCUCACAAUUUUGAUCAGAGUUAGAAAUAUACAUCAAUAAAUGGUGGCAAAAGAAGUAUAUAAUCCAGAUCUUCCUUAGUACACGGCGCAAUCAUACUUUGCACCUUAAUCAAAAGCAAAAAGCAAAUCAAUUUUUUGAAGGACUAGGGAGAAAAAAUUAUGUUUAUACCCUUACUAGAAACUCAAAUUUACAAAAAUACCAUCUUUAUGACUUGAUCCUUCCCUCUUCUUUUUCACGCGAAACCCUUUCCUUUGUUCUCUCUGCUGACUCACCGCCGUUCGCCCAUCCACCGCCGGCCAUCUCCGGCCAACUCCGUAAACCUGUUAUAAUCAUAAUGCCACUGCCAAUGCGAAUUCGAUUGCCACUACUCCAUUACUCCACGACAACAGCUCUUCGCCUUUCAUCCUCUUCACUCGCUCUGCCAUUUUUGCACCAACGACGAAGUUUCUCUUAUGUCUCCAGUGAUGAUUCCGACCUUGAAUCCGACUCUACUCACUCUCAACGAAAAUUCAUCAGCAACACACCUUUGGCAAAUCCGAACAAUAAGGUAUUACUUUACAUUGCAUAACAUAAAAAUUCUUUAGUAAAAAAAAUAAUUUUUUUUUGUUAAUCAGUGUCAAUUUUUCUUUUGCAGUGCUUAACAAAAGCCCCAACGUUGGAUGAAUCGCUUAGUCUCUUCUACAAGCUUGACCCAUCUUCCAAAAGUGCACGAAUUUGCAACCCACUGUUGAAGAGUUUGCUCAAAUUGGGUCGUACUGAUGAUGCCCGCCACCUGCUCGAUCAAAUGCUUCAACUGGAUUCUAAGUUUCCUCCUGAUGAUUUCACUGGUGAAAUUGUUUUUGGUGACUUGGUGAAGAGGGACCGCCCCGGAAAUGGCCUUGCUGAUGAGGAAAUUGUUGGGUUGGUUACUAAGCUUGGUGAACGUGGAGUUUUUCCUGAUACGUUUAAGCUUACUCAGUUGAUAUCCAAACUGUGUGGGAACCGGAAGAACGGUCUAGCGUGGGAUAUUUUGCAUAAUGUGAUGAAAUUGGGUGGUACAGUUGAAGCUGCAUCUUGCAAUGCUUUGUUAACAGGGCUGGGAAGGGAAAGAGAAAUUAAGAAGAUGAAUAAACUGUUGGCAGAGAUGGAAGAAAGGAAGAUACAUCCCAGUGUCGUAACUUUUGGGAUUCUUAUUAAUAAUUUGUGCAAGGCUAGGAGGAUCAAUGAUGCGCUGGUGGUGUUUGAUAAACUGAGAGGUAAGGGAGAAAAGAGUUGGAUUGGUGUUGAACCUGAUGUGGUUUUGUAUAACACUUUGAUUAAUGGACUUUGUAAAGUUGGGAGGGAAGAAGAUGGUUUGAGUUUGUUGGAAGAGAUGAAAACUGAUAUGAAAAAUAAGCCAAACGCUGUUACAUAUAAUUGCUUGAUUGAUGGGUUCUGCAAAAUUGGCAACAUUGAUAAAGCACGUGAGCUAUUCGGUCUGAUGAAAGAGGAACAAGUACAGCCAAAUGUGGUCACCCUUAAUACAUUGGUUGAUGGUAUGUGCAAAACUGGAAAGGUCUAUAGUGCAGUUGAGUUUUUCAAUGAGAUGAAAGGCAAGGGCCUGAAAGGAAAUGCUGUUACUUACACUGCGCUGAUAUCUGCCUUCUGUGGUGUGAACAAUAUUGAUAAAGCCAUGCAAUAUUUUGAUGAGAUGUUGAGUUCUGGAUGCUCACCUGAUGCAAUUGUUUACUAUAGUUUGAUAUCUGGUUUAAGCAUUGCUGGAAGGAUGGAUGAUGCCAGUGUUGUUGUGUCACAAUUGAAACGGGCUGGGUUUGGUCUUGAUAGAGAAUGCUACAAUGUUCUCAUCAGUGGAUUCUGCAAGAAGAAGAAGCUGGAACGAGUUUAUGAAAUGCUCAACGAAAUGGAAAAAACUGGAGUUAAGCCUGAUAUUGUCACCUAUAACACUUUAGUUUCUUAUCUUGGCAAAGCUGGAGAUUUUGCAAGUGCUACUAAGGUGAUGAAAAAGAUGAUUAAAGAGGGUCUUAAGCCCUCUGUUGUCACAUAUGGGGCAGUUAUACAUGCAUAUUGUUUAAAGAAGAAUGUUGAUGAGGCCAUGAAGAUUUUUGAGGAAAUGUGCUCUACAUCUAUGGUUCCUCCCGACACUGUGAUAUACAACAUUUUAAUAAACGCUCUGUGCAAAAAUAACAAUGUUGAAAGGGCUGUUUCUUUGAUGGAUGACAUGAAAGUAAAGGGGGUUCGGCCUAAUACAACCACAUAUAAUGCUGUUCUGAAGGGGGUUCGGGAUAAGAGAAUGCUGGACAAAGGAUUUGAACUUAUGGACAGAAUGGUGGAAGAUGCUUGCAGUCCUGACUAUGUAACCAUGGAGAUUCUUACUGAAUGGCUUUCUGCUAUUGGUGAAAUAGAAAAACUGAAACUUUUUGUCGAAGGAUAUCGGGUUUCCUCUAAUCCAUCAUCACUUCAAACUUAAAUAUGUUAGUAGUAGGUUUGAACUAAGUCAAAAUGAUUAGCUUUUAAUUGUCAAAGCUCCAAAUUUUUGUAUUAUUUUAGCUCAUUUUGAAACCAUUAUAGUUGGAUCAAAACUUAAAUUGUACAUGUAAAUUUAUAAUUUAUGCCUGUUUAAUUUAUUGUCGUCAUGAUUUUGUUACAUUUUCAAGUAGGUUUUAAUGGAGGAGUACUCUUAAAAUAAACUUGUAUUAUUAAUGCUUUGACAAUUAAAAUGAUUACCUUUUAAUUGUAAAAGCUCCAAAUUUUUGUAUUAUUUUAGCUCAUUUUGAAACCAUUAUAGUUGAAUCAAAACUUGAAUUGUACAUGUAAAUUUAUAAUUUAUGCCUGUUUAAUUUAUUGUCGUCGUGAUUUUGUUACAUUUUCAAGUAGGUUUUAAUGGAGGAGUACUCUUAAAAUAAAUUCAUGGUUGGCAGCCUGAGAUUAUUAAUGGUUAUUUAUGGCUAUUUAUUGGUCAUUGUGUAGUAUGUACUGCUGCUAUACACAGGUAGAUAUUGGUUGAAGAUAAUCUGCAUAAGACGUCAACUGAUUCUUAAAGGUAUGUUAGUACUGGAUUUUAUUCUGCAUCAUGGUCAGAGUCUAUCUUAGAUAUGCUACCUGUGAGUGUUUCUUUUUGUGUGUGCGUGUGUAAAUAAUGAUAAUGGGAUAUCAGAUAUACUUUUGGAUUUAAUAGAAAGCUUAUCUGUGGUUAAAGUAGAAGUAUGUUGUGUGUGGUUAAAUGCAGUGUAUGGGAAAGUAUGCAACGCAUGAUACCUUCCGCCUAAACCACUGAAGAUGGAAAAAUGUUUUUACUGUCUGUGGAGGCAUUUGGCUUGAUUUUCAUUUGCGUUAAUGCUCUUUACCACUUAGUGCAUCAUAAGAUACUGAAAACCAUGCUCAAUAACACACAACGCUAUCAUGUGUAAGAGCAUUAAUGCAAAUGAAAAUCAAGCCAAAUGCCUCCACAGACAGUAAAAACAUUACGACUGUCGCAUGUCAAUUCGAUACAAAACUGAACCCAAUCAAUACAAAUUCAUGUGUAUCUAUUUUAGACAUGGAUCUCAACAUGAAUCCCAUUUCAUUCUAAUGAUUUCCAAUCUGAAUUUUUGUCAACUUUGUAUAGCAAUUUUUUUUUCCUUCCAGUUAUGUCUUGGUUCUUGAUGCUGCCCCGGGAAGGAAAUUCAUCAUUCAGGUGGCCUAUGUUCUCUCGUAAAGGAUUGCAGUGAGUGGUUUUGUUGUGUAGCAAGGUAGCUCUGAUGCUUUGGGCAGUUUGGGAGGAUCUCUUUUGAAUUGCAGGGUGCUUAGCAAGCUUUUGUUAUGUCAUCCAGUGGGAGAUGUUUUUUUGGCUAUUAUUAUAAAUUGUUGUUUUGGUAUACGAGCUUAGGUCCCUUCUAAUUGCAAUUCCUGAGCUUAGAAUUUUUGGUUUGUAUCUCAGCAACAUUGUAAUUCUUAUUCUAUAUCUUGCACAUCUUCUUGUGCUUGGUUUAGAAGUUUUUAAUCCUUAUUCUAUACCUUUUAAAAGCAACGUUUUCUUCUUCGUUUAAUUUUUGACUUGAAUCAUAAAAAUUAUUAAUUUUAUAAAAAUUCAAUUUUAUCUUCUACCUCUUGACAGAGGAUUUACAGCAAUAGAAAACUCAACAUAAAAUUUAAAAACGCCUAAAAAAAUAUAUUAAUUGCUUGAAAAUUUCAAACAAAUAAAUUAUGCCUAUCAAAUACUUUAUCACCACCCAUUGCCUCCAUUAAGAUUGACCAAAAAAAAAAUAGAGGUUGAAGAUGAAGUUCUUGUUUGUAUUAUUUCUCUACCAUUGUUAACCAAACACCAUCAUCUUUAUUUUGAGCUUGAAGAAAUUUAGUGAUUAAAUUUGAGAACAAAUAGGCGUUUCAUGUUUUUGAGCAGUUUGUGAAUGGUAAAAAAAAUUAUAUUCAAAUUUUAAAAUCAAUCAAAUUGCUCCAUGAAUAUGUAGCUCACACGUUAGCACCCUUAACGACCUAAGUUGACGGAGUGACUAAUUUGAUAUAAAUUUCACAAAUUUAAGGACAUUUUAUCUAUUUUAAAAAAAUCAUAAACAAAUUUAAUUGAUGAGUGAAAAUUCAGAGACGAAUUUUGCUUAUUUACUUUGUCAAUGUGUAUGUAUAAAUAAAAAUUUAUUUUAAAAGAGAACAUAGUAUAGUAUUUACUAAUAUUUAAUUGCAGUUUUAGUGCUCUAUUUAUUUUUACAAUUUCAUUGUUUUUUGGAAUAAAGAAAACAAAAUGGUUUGAUAUUUUGACACCACAAGUGAAGGAAAAUAAAACAAACAUUAUUUUACAAUUUAUAUUAUUAUUGUUAUUAUUAUUAUUAUUAUUAUUAUUAUUAUUAUUAUAUAUUAUAUUUUUGAUAUAUGUAAGAAAGUAAGAGUUGCAAAAUGUGUUUUGUUUUAUUUUAUUAUGACACAAGUGAAGGGAAGAAAAAGCUUAGAAGCAGGGCUCUCAAGUUUCAUAAUUGUUUGAUUUUGACCCUUUAAUUUUCAAUUGUGCGAUUAUAAUCACCAUAAGUUUCAAAUUUUUUCGAUUUUAGCCUCCAAACUUGAAUUGCUCGAUUUUGGCCUCCCAAGUUCACCUUAUUUUGCAUUUACUAGCCCCGUUGAUUUUUUUUGACUAAAAAUUGAUUAUGCGGCAUCUUAAAACUAUUUAUUUUAAAACAUGUAUUAAAUUGCGUAAAAAAAAUGUAUUAAAUUUAUUUUAAUAAAGGUUUACUAAUUUUUGUUUUAAAAUUAUAAAAAUAAUAGUUUAUAAUUUUUUUGAAAUAGUUUAAAAAAUAGUUCAUAAAAAUAAAUUGUAAACUUCUACCAAAAAAAAAAUUGUAAACUAUUUUUUUUAUAGCAAAAUAAAAUAAAGUGAUAAAAUGAGGUUUUGAGUUAGGGAUGCAAAACCUGCUGCGUGGUUAGUUACUGCACCUCACUUCACCAUGCCACCGCCGGUGAUGCGAAUUCGAAUGCCGAUGCCCACCGUAUUACCACCAUACUCCGCCGGCAUCUUCUUCAGAAUCGCCACUCAUCGUCAUUUCCUCACUUCCACAUCACCACCACCAACAACCACAAUCCGUCGCCUUCCAUCCUCCUUUCCCGCCGCCUUCUACCACAGAUACGGUGGUGCUCCUGUCAGACACAGGACCUUUGCUCUUCCGCUUUUUUACCAACAAACUUCCACUUAUGGUCGUUUUGCCUUUCACGACGUUUCCAGUGAUGAUGAUUCUGACCUUCAAUUCGCUAAUUCUUCUCACUCUCAACCUCGCUCCCAAAAAGAAUUGGUAUAUUUGCACGCCACUCUUAUUCAUUUUCUACUUUUCGUUUCCUUUUUACAUUCCUAUCACUAUCAACUACAUAACUGUUACUUAGGUUCUUAGUUAAUUAUACUUUUACACUGUUUGUUUGGAUAAACAACUUAUUUUGCAUCGUCUUAUGGCAUAGGCAAGUAUGAAUGAGUUAUUUACGGCUUGUUAGAUUGACUUAUUUGAACUUAUAUACUGACAUAAGUUUUGUGAGACUGUUUGGGAGAAUUUAUGGAAACAGUUUAUGAUAACUUUCAUAAGUUUAUACCGGCUUAUUUUCAUAAGUUUUUCAAUAUAGGUUUUGUUUUUUUAGGCAAAGUGGAGUAGCAUUAGGCUACUAUCAUCAAAAUAGAUAUAUAAAAAAGAUCAUAUACUCCCUCCGGUCCUUAAUAUAAGAAAAGUUCACUUUUUAGAUACAUUGAAAUAUUAAUGUAUCUGGACUAUAUCAUAGACUAGAUACAUUAAUAUUUCAAUGUAUCUAAAAAAUUAACUUCUUCCUAUAUUAAGGACUAGAGGGAGUACACAAGAAGAGGGGAUUAGACUAAAACCCUCUUAAAAAGAUACAAAUAUAAAGCAAGGCAUGCCAAGCUUGUUCAAAGCAAAACUAGGACUCAAAACUGAGGGAAGUUGAUUCCAAUAAAAGGGGUAGCGGCGCAACUUGUUGCCCGUUUGCCUUUCAUUCAAGUGUAAUUAUCUUACGUAUAUAUAAAAUAUAAUUAAGUCCAAACAAAAAAAUAAGUGAAAGAACUAAGAGAAAGUGCCAUAUUUGCUAGUCUAUCCGCACACACAUUAGUUUCUCGAAAAAUGAGAAUCGCCGAGAAAUUGAUGGACCUUAACUUCACAUGAGAGUUAGACCAAUGAUUUCUUAAAGACCAAGGAAUCAUAAAAUGGGUUUUGAAAAUGAGAGUUAGACCAAGGAAGAAUAUAGGUUAUGAAAACAGCUCGUAGCUUAUAUAAAACAAUUUAUCUUUAUUUUAUCUUUUGCUGUAAAAAUAGCUUAGGUAAGCUUAGUGAUUAUUGUGGUAUAAGUUGCAAAUAAGCUGUUUAUUCAAACAGACCUAAUUGUAUAAUCUAUAAGCUGUUUUCAUAAACAACUUUGGAGAACUUAUGAAAUAAGCUGAAAAAACUGCUUCUCAACAUGUCAUGAGCUGUUUUCAUAAGUAGGGGUUUGUUUGGAUUGGCUUAUUUGAGUUUAACCACUGACAUGGGAAGUUUUUAUGAGUAUGUCUGCGAGAACUUGUAAAAACAGCUUAUGACAUUUUUCAUAAGCUUUUUUGAGCUCAUUUUCAUAAGUUUUCGAAGAUAUGUUAUAAAAACGGCUUACAACAUAGCAUUUACAAAAACAAUUAUAUUUUAUUUUUUACUAUUGAAAUAACUUAUGCAAGUUUAUACGUAAGCGCUUAUCAAAUAAGCGCUUGUGCUAUAAGCUGCUUAAGCGCUUGUGCUAUAAGCCGCCAAAAAGCCGUUUAUCCAAACAGGGCCUAGUUCUCCAAGAUAGUGUUACAAGUGUGGCUUAUGCUAGUAAGUAAACUAAGAAAAGCCAAUCGCAACAGGCCCCUAGAAGUAGAUUGAAUUGAAUAAAACUUUGCCAGACGCAGCACGCUUGCUCAAUUUUUGAAUGAAUUCUAUUAAUACUUAUUAUCCUGAGUGAUUUUGCUUAUUAGGGCGAUUCGACUCUCGAAAACAUUGAUUCUUGGAGAUGGAAACUCACCAUGCUUCUUCGCAAUAAAGGCGAGCAAGAAGUUGUGUCCAAUGAGAAAAAGGACCGUCGUGAUUUUCUGCAACUUGAAACUUUAGCUACCAGGAUGGGUUUAUAUAGGUAUGUAUGUUCACUUCUGCAUCAAUUCAUUCACAUUUUCUCUUGCGUUUUAUUUUAUUUUUCAGUCUUGUGAAUAUAUAUUUUUUACUUUGGCAGUCGACAGUAUGCAAGAGUUGUUGUCUUUAGCAAGGUGCCUUUGCCAAAUUACCGCCCUGAUCUCGAUGAUAAGCGUCCACUCAGAGAGGUAUUACUUUGCAUCAAAGAUUUCAUUUCUGUUAUUUUAAUUCUUGUGUUUAAAGGAAAAGAAUCAGCCUCCUUUUCUUUGAAUCUUGGCAAAGAAUUUUAAUGCAUGAACUGGGUUAACUAAAUGAAUUUGAUGGACCUGUAAAGUUUGGGUGAAGGAAAACACUUUUAGGGGAUACCUUAUCUGAAUUACAAUUGGAGUUGCAACCCUAGAACUGUAAUUAGUUCAGUUCAACUCUAAUUUUAUUGUUUGAUGUCAUCAAUGACACAUGUGAAGGAGACUUUGUUGUAGUUACUGGUGGUAGUGAUGGUGUUGAUGGUAGUAGCGGUGGUGAUCGAGGGGAGGAUUGGAGUAAGUGGCUGUGGAAAUCAGUGAAGUAUGCUUGCUGAUAUGGACAAUGGCCAAAUAGAGGACAGCAAGAAACUACUUAAUUGGUGUAUGUAGAGAGAGAUAGUGUUUCAGUAAACUACUCUGUCGCUCACUAAGCUCCCAAUCAACCAUAAGAAAUUAUAUCUCUGUUAUUAAGUCAGUGAGGACUGCACAGUUUCAGUUCAAUUAUCAUAGAUCACUAUAAAUGGCCACAAAGCUUCUAUUUUAAAGCUAACAAUCUAGAGAAAAUUUCUACUGAUGGGAUCAUGGGAAAUUAUGUGUUGACUCUGAUAUGAUGGUGUAAAUUUUUUAAUAAAGGAAUUUAUAAAAGUUGUAAUGUUUAAAGGGAGUUAUCACAUAUUUUUUGUUACCGUUCCAGGAUGAAAAAGGUUGGAGACAAAAGUGUAGGUAGUGAUGAGAGAGGUUUAGGUGAAUAAUUGGUGAGGUAUGGAGAAGAAAUGCAUGAACUAUUUUCAAUGACGGCACCUCAUCAUUUUAAUGAUGUGGAAAAAUAUGUGAUUUGGUGUCAAUCAAUUGUUUUGUGACCCUGUUUAUGAUUAUAAUAGAUUCCCAGCAACUAACAGUGCAAAUAAUUAUAAACAGAAAACAGCUGUCUUGAUAUUUUCGGUUUUAACACUGCAACAUUGCGCUGUUUGGAAAAUUCUCUAUCCUUUUUUGCAUGUAUCCUGAUUGACUGCUUUUCUAUGCUCUGCAGGUAACCUUACCCUUUGGUGUUCAUAGAGAAGUAGACACUCAUCUCCUUGCUCAUUUUUCAAAUAUGGCUAUAAAAAGAGUAGGCUCUUUGGAUGAUUCCUUGCAUAAUGGAAGCAUUCCUGCUGAUGAAGGGAUUUAUGGGCAUCCGGAGCCCAUGAUCCAUAAUAGUGUUGCCAAAGAGAAAAUCCUUCAAAGAAGAAGUUUGCAACUGCGUCAGCAACAACAAGACUGGAAGGUUUCUUGUUUUUUCUGUCUAAACUUUGAAGUGCAUCUCAUUUUCCAAUACAGUCUCAGUUGUUUAAGUAAUUUCUGCUUAUUUCACAUUCCUAUUGUGUGUGAAUUUAUAGAAAUAUAUCAUGUAAAUUUUUUAUAGCCAGCAAUGUUUUUUGGUUCAGCCUUGAUUUUUUUCAUAAUAGUUAUAUCUUGUAGUCUGGCCAUAUAUCUUAUACAUAUCUUUAUCUUAAGAAGAGGUAUAUCUUUUAGUUAUAAUUAAAAUGAAGGUCCUUGAACUAUUUGAUGAUAUUCAAACAUGUUCUUGAAUUAAAAUGUUUGUAUUCCAGUCCCUGAAUUUGGAAUUAAUCCCCUCAACAUUUAUUUAAUCAGGUCCCCGAAAUUUGUAAUUAGGCCCAUCCUGAACUUUAAAAAAAAAUUGUAAUUGAGGGACCCAAAUACAAAUUAUUCAACAGUUUAAUGCCUUGAUUUUUUUCUUCAAUUUAAGGGCCUAAUGACAAAUUGUUGAUAAGUUUAGGGACUCAAUUGCCAAUUUUCUUAGUUCAAUGACUUAUUAAAAAAUCCUCAAAUAGUUCAGGAACUUACAAAGUAAACAAACCUAUCUUUUAGUCUGGCCAUUUGAAAACAUAUAUCUUUCAAAUAUCUUGCAUGUAAAACUCUUGGAUAGUGGGAUGACUGCUAUACUGAAGACUACAACAUAAGUUAUAUCAUUUAUACUACACACAUAAAUACUCAAAAAGUAAAGAUGCAUAAAAUUAGAGGCAUAUUCAUAAUUAAUUGAAUACUAAAUAAUACUUUUAAGCUAAGUGUACAAGUUAAUAACAACAAAAGUUGUAGAAUAAAUAAGUUUAAAACUAUGAUUGAUAGAUACAGUGGCAACUGAGAACAUGUGUGAAAAGAAAAUCCCAAGAGAAGGUGGGUUACAAUACAGAAAUGUAUUAUUCAAGAAAAAAGUUAAUGCAAAAAUGAUCUGCUAUGUAAUAUCCAUAAUGACUGCCAGCCGCAAGUGACUCAGUUUUGCUAUAAGGGUGCUAUUGCACACUAGCGAUAGCUAUCAAUUUAACAAUACAUUUUUAGUGGAGAGAAAAGUACAUUAAAGCAAUUAUGGAAAUUUGGUUAUUUAAUUGCAAACUUGUUGAAUAAUCAGUUUUGAUUGAAUAUUCUAGAGCUAUAUUUGAUAGCUACAAUUCGUGUUAUAUGGUUUCUUACCUUGAUACAUCACAUGAUGUCAGCUGUUUAUUGAUAUUUUCUAUAAGUGAAAAUUUCUACACUUGAAUGUUUGUUGUCAUUGAUUUUUAGCCUUUAGAAAUGUUAUAACAUAUGCUGGUUUGUCCAUAGGAAUCUUCCGAAGGGAAAAAGAUGCUUGAAUUUCGCCGAAGUCUUCCUGCAUUCAAAGAGAAAGAUGCAUUUUUGAAAGUCGUUUCAGAGAAUCAGGUGAAAAGGGAAUAAACGGUGCUCUCUGUGAUUUGUAAUUUAUUAGUCCUUCUAUCCCACAAUAACCGUCGCAUUUGACCAUUUCACACAUAAUAAGAAAAAAUGAUAAAUGAAAGAAAGAGAAUGGUGAUUUAACUAAUUUAUCCUUAUUAACUGUUAGUGUAUUCCCAUUAUCAUAAAGGAAAAGUGGAGAAUGAUAACUUGGGAGUUAUGUACAUAAUAUUUAUUAUUGGGUACAAUUGAAAAAUAUAUUUAAAAUUACAUUGAAAAACUAAAAGUGGCAUUCUUUUUGUGAUAGUUUUUUGUGAGGAAACAUGAUAGUUAUUAUGACACAGAGAGAGUGUUACUUUCCUUAUAAUUUUUUACUUCUACAAAUCAAAAGCCAAGUGAAAAAAGGUGCAAGGCUAUGAUGUCCGUGUAUGAUCCUUUAUAUAAGGUGCCAUUGUAUAACUUAUAGAUUCUUAUUGUGAAUUAGUGUCAAUAUUUCUUACUUAUACAAGAUGCUGUUCUUUGAUAAAUCAGGAUACCACCACCACCACCACCAGCAUCAUCAUCAUCAUCAUCUUCAUCUUAAUCUUAAUCUUAAACAGAUUUCUUUUUUAUGCUCAUCCAACAUCAGUCGUAUCUGAUCUGCAUACUUUUACUCUCUAUUUUCAUAGUGUGCAGCACAUAGUUCUUGUAUUAUAUUGCAUAUCGAUAUAUGUGGAGCUUCUGCAUGGAUGCAAACUAGAUUGCAUAUUGAAUCAAGCUGACAUGUGAAAUAUUAGGGUGGAGGAGUGAAGGACGAAAAAAAGGACAAGCAUGGAGGGAUAUAGACACUGCAGUCCACUUUUUUAGACAAUUAUCAAACAAAUAUAAGAAAUUUGGGCAUAGAUUAUAACUUACAUUUAAUUAGAUAAGAAAUAUUACAAUAUACUUUAGUAAGAUAUGAACUACACGGUCUCUUUGUAUGUUACAGUAGUCAGCAGCGAACAAUCAAACUGAUCCACUUAUAGUUUCUGAGCAAAUGAUAAUUUAGAAUGGGUAAAAUAAGUGGUGAUAGUUUCUCUGCAGGUCUAUUUGUUGUUGAGAAUAUUAAUACUGAUAUGCGUAUGCUUGUGCUGCUGAAUGAUAAUUUGUGUAUUAAUUGGUAUCAUUAAUGAAAUUUGCAGGUCAUUGUUAUCUCGGGUGAAACUGGUUGCGGUAAGACCACACAACUUCCUCAAUACAUAUUAGAAUCUGAGAUUGAAGCUGGACGUGGAGCUCUAUGUAACAUAAUUUGUACUCAGCCUAGAAGAAUAUCUGCUAUAUCUGUUUCUGAAAGGGUUGCAGCAGAACAUGGGGAAAAAUUGGGAGAAUCCGUUAGUUUUUGGGCCUUUUUAGUCUGUCAAUGCUUGAACUACUUAAACUUAUAUGCUAUCCGUUUGACUUAAAUUCUUUGCAUGUUUUCCAUUCUGAAAGGUUGGUUAUAAAGUUCGGUUGGAGGGUAUGAGAGGGAGGGAUACUCGUCUUCUUUUUUGCACCACGGGUGUGUUAUUGCGGAGACUACUUGUGGAUAGAAGUUUAAAAGGUGUAACUCAUGUUAUUGUUGAUGAAAUUCAUGAACGUGGAAUGAAUGAAGGUAGCGUCAUAAUUGUUUCAUUCCAAUAUUGUUUUGUUAAGUUUAAUAUGUGAGUAUGAUGCUUACCUUUGGUUUUCACUUUCAUCAGAUUUUCUUCUCAUUGUCCUAAAGGAUCUUCUCCCUCGUCGUCCUGAUUUGAGAUUAAUUUUGAUGAGUGCAACCUUAAAUGCUGAACUUUUUUCUUCGUAUUUUGAUGGUGCCCCAACUAUGCAUAUCCCUGUAAGCUCAGGAUACUCAUUUCUGUAUUUUAACUAAGUUCAACUAAGUUCAAUUGAUGCCAUCACAAUAUAUCUUACUUUGUUGUUGUAUUCAGCAGUCAUAUAAUUUGUUCUGAUGUGAUUCAUUCGUUAACUUUUCAAUGAUCAGUGAUGUUCUGUUUUUAUGGACAUGAUGGAUUUUCUCUCUCGAUAAUGAUUGUAUAUGCUUUUAAAAAGUAAAACUGUGUACUUUAGGAAUUCAACAACUUAGCUGUUGAAAGAAAUGCUUCUGUUGGACUUAUUUGGCAUAGUAAGAUAGUAAACUCACAGACAGCUUACUUUUCGGCUAAUAUUCCACAAACGAGUAUAUUAAGAUUCCAAAUUUUCUGCUUUGGCUACGAGUAACAUUGGCUUAUAGAUGUUGUUAAAGGAUACAAUAAACUUAUUUUCUUUUUGUUUUUGGGACAUGUGCAAUAUCUAGGGAUUUACAUUUCCAGUUCGAGCACAAUUUCUUGAGGAUAUUCUGGAAAGGACUGGAUAUCGGUUGACUCCUUAUAAUCAAAUUGAUGACUAUGGUCAAGAAAAAUCAUGGAAAAUGCAGAAACAAGCUCAAUCUUUCAAAAAAAGAAAGAGCCAGAUUGCUUCUGCUGUUGAGGUACACAAGUUGAUCUGGAAAUAUUUUCUUCGCUGUCUUUUUGUUUUUGGGAGGUUAUUUUUUUGACUAGUUCUGUUAAUUUCUCUAUGUUGUUGCAUAGGAUGCAUUAGAGGUUGCAGACUACAAGGGGUAUAGCCUACGCACCAAGGAAUCAAUGUCCUGCUGGAACCCUGACUCAAUUGGUUUCAACCUUAUUGAACAUGUGCUUUGCCACAUUGUUAAGAAUGAAAGGCCAGGUGCUGUUUUGGUUUUUAUGACUGGUUGGGAUGAUAUACACUCUUUGAAGGAUCACCUCCAUGCUCAUCCUUUGUUGGGCGAUCAGAGCCGAGUAUUACUUCUUGCAUGCCAUGGCUCUAUGUCCAGCACAGAGCAGGUGACCUUGCUAGUAAUAGACUGAAAUGCUACCACAGUAAAUAUUACUUGUUGGAGUUGUUGCUAUCUAUUUUACAAUUUAAUAUAUUUCCAAUGUGUGCUUUUUUAUUAAAAUGUUGGGAAUAAUGAGUCUCUUAAGCUUAUUGAAGUUUAAGUACUGUAUUAAAUUGGGUGCUGUAUUAUUAGUUUUUGUACUCCAAUUGAAUGAAUAUUCUCUCUCUCUCUCUCUCUCUCUCUCAUUCAAUAUAUUGCAUAGUGAAUUUUGUUUGCUUUCCUGUUUUGCCUUGCAGAAAUUAAUAUUUGAAAAUCCUGAAGGAGGGGUGAGGAAAAUUGUUCUGGCUACUAAUAUGGCCGAGACUAGUAUUACCAUCAACGACGUUGUCUUUGUGGUUGAUUGUGGAAAAGCAAAAGAGACAUCAUAUGAUGCAUUAAAUAACACUCCUUGUUUGCUUCCAUCUUGGAUCUCAAAAGCUGCUGCCCGGCAGGUAUUUGAUUGUUCAAAUUAGUUUUGUGAAUUUGGAUUAUUUGAGAAUUUAUUUGUCUAUUUCCUUUCAAAAGGAAAGUCAGAUUAAGAGUCUGUUUGUUGUAGAUUAUUCAAGUAAAAAAACACUUUUUUUAAAUAAAUCUUUUUUAAAGACUUCAAUUGUUAAAAUAAUAAGAAUCUAAAAAAAUAACAAUAUUUUUUUAGGUUAAAAUCAGAAGCUAACUUUCAGUAGCUUUGAAAAAAAUCAGUCAAAAUAGAUGAAAGAGAAAGUCUAAUUGAAAACACGGAAGGUACAUUUGCUUUAAAAUCUUCCUAAUAUGACAAGUUUGGCCUUUGUAUUAUACUCGUUUUCGUCCCAUUCUUGUUUCACCCUUAUUGGGGAUAUAAUAUACAAGCAUACAGCUGAGUCCUGUUUUUCAUCCCAUUCUCGAAUAUAUCAUAUAUGUGCGUGUGACUACAUUAACAUAGAAACAUUUGUGUAUACGUGAUUAUGUUAAUUUAUAUAAUUAUGUUAGUAUAUACUACUAUUAAUUAAGUUAACAAUGUUCUUUGGUAAAAAAAACUUAAUAAUGUUCACAUUAUCAUAUAAAAUAUCUCAGAUUUUAUAUUGGGCCUAACUCAUCCCUACAAAACCGGCUUGUAAGGUGAGGACUGUCACUUGCUUAUAAACACUACACAGGCCAUAUCUCUUAGAAAUGUGGGAGUGGGACUAAAUCCACCCCUUCACACCCAACACAAUGAAGGUGUUGGAGGCUGCUGCAAUGAAGGCAACUCAAAUGCCGCAAUUAGGNNNNNNNNNNNNNNNNNNNNNNNNNNNNNNNNNNNNNNNNNNNNNNNNNNNNAUCCUCACAAAACCGGCUUGUAAGGUGAGGACUGUCACUUGCUUAUAAACACUACACAGGCCAUAUCUCUUAGCAAUGUGGGACUAAAUCCACCCCUUCACACCCAACACAAUGAAGGUGUUGGAGGCUGCUGCAAUGAAGGCAACUAAUGAAGGCGGAAUAUCCAACAAAAUAUAUUCAAGAAAUAUCAUUACAACUGACCGUAUUCAAAUUAUAUAAAAAAGUGACUUGGGCGAGAGUAGUACUAGGAUGGGUGACCUCCUGAGAAGUCCUUGUGUUGCACCUCUUUAAAGGAAGCCACUAGGUUUGAUCUAGCGGUGAGGGGUUUGGGUAGUAUGCACGAGGUCCUAGGUUCGAUCCUCACUGACUCUUUUGUAAACCAAAAAAAAAAAAACUUGCAGGCAAUCAUAAAUUAUCUUCUGAUUUUUAAAAAUAUCUAAAAAAAUAAUCAUUGAAUUAUUUUACGUCAAAAUCACUUUACCAAACAGGCUCUAAAGUGGUUCUAGGAAGAAUCAUUUGAAUACAGCUUCAUAAUGUAUUCUUUACCAUUAAUUAAUUUUUUGGUUAUCUGGUUGCUUAGAAAGUCUACUUUUUUUUUCUUUAGAGAAAAGGCAGGGCUGGUCGUGUUCAAUCUGGCGAAUGCUAUCAUCUUUAUCCCAAAUGUGUUUAUGAUGCUUUUGAUGAUUAUCAGUUACCAGAGCUUUUAAGAACACCUUUACAGUCCUUAUGUCUACAAAUAAAAAGUCUACAACUUGGAAGCAUCUCUGACUUUUUAUCUAGUGCUCUCCAGCCACCAGAGCCUCUAUCGGUAAAAUUCAUUGCACUUGUUUUUGGAACUUGAACUGAAAUAUGCUGGUUGUUUGAAUUUAUUUUCAAUGAAAUCUAUGUGUUGAUUUAAGACAUUCUUCAACUUGCAUCAAACUUGUUUUAUUCAAUUUAUUAUGUUGUCUAUUAAUUUCACUGUGCAGGUUCAAAAUGCUGUUGACUAUUUGAAGAUUAUCGGUGCCUUAGAUGAGAAUGAAAAUUUGACAGUUCUAGGUAAAAGAAAAGAACUUGUACUUUUCUGCAUCAUCGUCUCAGCUUCUCCUGGCAUUUUUUUAUCAACUGAUGCCACAUCGCCACUGUUUUCCCAAGCCGUUUUUAGGCAUUAAGUCACUGCUGAUAGUUUUCAAUUUUUAUUUAUUUCAAAAGUCACUGCUGAUGUUGAGUUGUCAAUUUUUAGGGCGCAAGUUGUCAAUGCUCCCCGUAGAACCUAAGCUUGGCAAGAUGCUCAUCUUGGGAGCUAUUUUCAACUGUUUGGAUCCCAUAUUGACUGUUGUUGCUGGGCUUAGUGUGAGAGACCCAUUUGUUGUGCCGGCUGACAAGAAGGAUGUAAGUUAUGAGCACUACUAAUAUUUCUCCCACCCCUCCCCAUGACACACUCCUCUUGAUAGAAAUAGUGGUAAAUUAUAUUAGUUUUGAUGUAUUCACAUAAGUCCAGUUUUGUUUUUGGACAUAAAGUGUAGUAAGUUCUUAUGUCUGUGCUGCUUUGUUUAUUAUAUUGGGCCAAAACACAUGCACUCUGAAUUGGUUGAUUAGGUUGAUCCCAUUGAAUAAACAUGGAUUCAUGUUUUUUUGCAGGAACUGUGCCUAUAUUGGUUUACUUUUUAUACUGUAUUAAAAUAUCGCUGUCUCAUCUUCAAAAAAUAAAUAUCACUUUCUCGUUCAUUAUUUGCUUGGGAUCAAAUCAAUAUUGUCAUGUGUACGCUAGGUAGAGAAGACCUAGCUUUGUAUGUCAUUACUCAUGAAUACAUCCCCAGACACAAAUAUUUUAUAACUAACACCCCCCCUCUAUGAAGAGCCCUUUGAGCUUGAAGCGUAGACCACAGUUCCACUCUACCUUAUGCUGAAAUUUAAUUUAUAAUCUUAGAAGAAUGGGGAUAACAGGGAUGAAAAUCUAGACCACAUUGCUCAUAUUAUAGACCUACUAUCUCAUAAUAAGCUAAACUUGUUAAGUGAAGUACAUGCAUUGUGUUACCUAAGGUUAUUUAACUGUUUACUUUGUACUUUUUAUGCAGCUUGCAGAGUCUGCCAAGGGCCACUUUGCUGCUGGUGCAUACAGUGAUCAUCUUGCACUUGUCCGGGCUUAUGAUGGUUGGAAAGAUGCUGAAGCACAGCAAGCUGGUUACGAGUACUGUUGGCGUAAUUUUCUUUCUUCUCAGACACUUAGGGCCAUUGACUCUCUUCGAAAGCAAUUCUUUAACUUGCUCAAAGAUAUUGGUCUGGUUAGCAACAAUUCUGAAACCAACAAUAAAUGGAGUAAUGAGGAGCAUCUGCUCCGAGCAGUUAUCUGUGCGGGUUUGUUUCCCGGAAUAUCCUCUGUUGUGGUAAUCCACUUACGAGUCCUUUUCAUUUUUGUGAUAAUUCAAUUUUAAUUUUCACUUUUUUGAAUUUGUUCUGGCUUUGAUGCAUGUUGAGUUGUUGUCUGCAGAAUUCAUUUUCUACAUUUAUGGCAUUUUCAUGAAAGUAACAUACCUGCGUAUAACACACAUUCAUGCUCUCGAUAAUUUUGUCGAAGUUCAAUUUUGUUUCUUAUUUCAAUUUCAACUAUAUUACUCUUAGUUUAAAAGUGACUCAUUAAGUUCCCUUAAUGUUCAUUGUUGAUAUUAAUUGCACUUUUUAUUAUAUCCUCAUCAACAAACCGGAAAAAAGUAACUUCUCAUUACAUCUAAUAUCACAUCAGCAAAAAAACAAAGAUAAAGAAAGACACAGCAUUGCCAUAUCAAAAGUAGGAUACAACUGUUGCGAUUGAUUACAUCUGUUAGAAGUCCCACAUUGGCUAGAGAUAUGACAUAGAUAGCCUUUAUAAUAGUAGUGCAAAGCUCAACUCUCAAGCUAGCUUUUGUGGUUGAGUAUAGGCCUCCCAAAUUCUAAUAUGGUAUCAGAACCUAUCCUAGAUCCAUUUGUUGUUUGUUGUGGAGACCUCCCAUAUUUGGGCCACCCGUUGUUGUUGAUUCCACGUUUUGUUAGUCCUGGACGUGAGGGGGUGUGUUAGAAGUCCCACAUUGGCUAGAGAUAUGGCAUAAAUAGCCUUUAUAAUAGUAGUGCAAAGCUCAACUCUCAAGCUAGCUUUUGUGGUUGAGUAUAGACCUCCCAAAUUCUAAUAACGUCGAUAUGAAAAUGAUGGAGGUGAUGAUAACAUUGCAACUAGGGGAACAUAAAUUGAUCUUUGUUAAAAUUAGGACUGCUGAAAUUGUAAUUUAAGCAAAUAUUUAUACAUAUGCUGUAACAUCGAUAAGUGUUCAUGUCUUUGGAUAUUGUAUAUGUUUAUCUUGGAUAUGGAGGGAAUGCUGUCUGUCGUGUUUUAUUUGUAAAUUAGUUGAAUUUUUCCAUGUAAUUUGUUUUUGAUGUGAGGUUGUGCAAAUUGUUAUGCAGAACAAGGAAAAGUCAAUAGCACUGAAAACAAUGGAGGAUGGUCCGGUUCUUCUGUAUGCUGUAAGUUUCUCCCUCCAAUAUCCUGAUGUUUUCAUCAAUUAUUGUAUGUUUAUGACUAAGUUUUGUUUUGGGGGAAAAUAUAAUCUAUUAAAGUUCUAAAAUUUUGGCGCUCCAUCGUGUAGAGUUCUGUAAAUGGAAGUGUACCCAAAAUUCCAUACCCAUGGUUAGUGUUUAAUGAAAAGAUUAAAGUGAAUACAGUAUUCCUUAGGGAUUCAACUGCCAUAUCUGACUCCAUGCUGCUCUUAUUUGGUGGGAACAUAUCCAAAGGUGGACUAGUAAGUUCCUACUCUGUUUUUUCUUCAUGUUUUCCCUCGAUAAGUUGUUCUUUAUUGUUUGUUCCUUUUGACUACUCACUGUGAUUUGACAUAUGGUAAACAUACGAUUCUUUUGACAGGAUGGUCACCUAAAAAUGUUGGGAGGGUAUCUGGAAUUUUUCAUGAAACCAGAAUUAGCCAAGACUUACUCAACUUUAAAGAGGGAACUGGAGGAAUUGAUACAGAAAAAAGUAAGUUCAAUUUUACUGGCCAUAACUUAAAACUUUGUGAGUAAAAAAAAAAACUUAAAACUUUGAUACUUAUCAAGGGAAUAAUUAAGUUGUGUGUAGCCAUAUUCCCCUCCCUUCCAAUUUCCAGUCUCUCUUUAAGUCCUUGACAUAAUUACUCUAUGCUCUGCAUGUUAUGCCAGCUUCUGGAUCCUAUGUUCGAUAUACAAUCGCAUACUCAGCUUCUUUCAGCUGUAAGAUUGUUGGUAUCAGAAGACCACUGUCAUGGCAGAUUUGUCUUUAGUCACCAGGACCUACCACAGUUGAAGAAAGCAACGAAAUCCAACAGUGGUGAUGGAGGUGGGGGUGAUAAUUCUAAAAAUCAGCUUCAAACAUUCCUUACCAGGGCUGGACAUCAGGCACCAACUUACAAAACACAGCAGCUGAGAAACAACCAAUUCCGUUCUACUGUUAUAUUCAAUGGCAUGGAUUUUGUUGGGAAGCCAUGCGGCAGCAAGAAACUAGCAGAAAAAUCUGCUGCUGCUGAGGCUAUUCUAUGGUUAAAAGGGGAUAAUACCCAUUCAUCUGGUGAUAUUGAUCAUGCAUCUGUGCUUUUGAAGAAAAGAAACAAGAAAAGUAGAAAAAAAUCGCUUAGUGAUGCUAAAUGGAGUUGAAUUACAUUUAUAAGACAUAUUUUAGAUAGAUUUGUUUGAUAGGGUCCUAUACCAAGGCUUGUCUAUGGUCUCUCCUUGGUGCAAUGGAUUCAGGGAUAAUUUUGCCAGCAAGAGUGUACAGAGCUAUUAGGGAUCUUGAUUCUGAAAGGUACAGAUCUGAGCCUUUGAUUUUGUAACGGGGUGAUUGUAUCCAGAAUCCACCUAAAUUUGGGGCACAUUUCAAGAAGUGUAUUUCUACAAUUGCUUUUAACUAAAUCUGACCCAGAGCAUAGCAUGGCUAGCUGAGCAGCUACUGUACUUGCAACAAAUUCAUGAAAAAUGGAAGGAGUAAGCAACUAAAUUUCGUAUCAAGGUAAUUCACUUGCAAUAUAUUAAUGUGUUUCUAGGAGUUGUAGUUUCUUAGUUAAUCAAGGUGAUCAUCCAGUUAAAUUAUAGAAUAUGUAUUUACAAUUAUUUUUUCUCUCGAGGAUUAUGAUGCAUGUUAGACCCCUCCUGAGAUGGAUUCUUUUCAAGCUGAUAUUGUAAGCUAUAAGAGAUAACUUGAAUGAAUUGGGAGAUCUAUUUUGAUUUGCUAAAUUUCAAUAAAUGAUUAGAAAAACAUGUGAAUUUAUUUAAGUUGCAUAAAUUACAGAGAUCUCAUCUGAAUACUAUCUAUGACAGCCCAAAGAAUCCAACUAACUACAUCUAAAACCAUAACUUAUUGAUUCAAUAACUCAAGGGCUUUCUGUAAUGUUGGUCUAAACCUAUUAACAUCAAGCUUUACAUUUUGUUUGUCAAAAUACACUGACCUAAAGGUUUCCCAUCCUUGUUUUACAAUUGAUGAGGGAUCCUUUAUAAUCAUAUGGUCUAAUGGAUAUUGUUGUUUAAGAGUGCUUUCUUCCAGCGUUAUUUUAUAUUCCAAGUACUUUAUUUUCAUAUCUUCUUCUGAGGGCUGUGCAAAAUCAUUUGUGGCUAGCCAUUCCACUUGCAUCCCACCACAUGGUACAACUUGGAUGAAAAUUGCAUUUUCAGGAAGGAAAAGUAUGUUUGUAAGACCAGCACCGUGAACUCCCAUUAAUACAUCACAAGAAUUCACAACAUCUGCAAUAUUCCCCAUGUUCCGCCCUGCUUCCAUAACAAUAACUUUGAAACCCAACCCUUUAGCCAUUUUUGCUAUUUGAUUUGUAUUAGUGAAGGAUCUUGAACUUUUUCUUGAGAGAAUCAGGAGCCUAGGCUUCUUACUUUGAUUACCAGUAUCUCUGAUUUUUAUUGCAUUAACUCUCUUUAGUGAAUAAGAACUUCUCAAAAAAUCUCCGAAGUCUUUGAUAGAAUAGGAAUACUUUUGAGGGUCAAUGCUUAGCUCUUUAUGAUACCUUUUAAGGCCCACAAUCACCUUAGGGAAGCAAUGCACUUCAUCAUCUCUAUCAAUAUCCAUAAUCUCAUAGUUGGACAGCUUUUUAAGAAAUGCUUGGUGUUUGACAAUCCACCAAGGCUUCUUAUCAGUUAUGAUAAGUUGUACUUUUCCAUUAAAUUGUGCACAAGUCAAAAAUAGUGGAAUGAUAAUGUCACCGAAUUCAUGGAAAUGGUUUCCAGUAUAUCCUGCAGUUGAGAAUAUUACUGCUGGAAUGCUGUGAUUUUUGGUGCAUUGUGAGACUUGUUGGCUAGCCUUUUACAGUUUGUACUGACCAUUUUCUUACACUACUCAUUGCAUAUGCAUCACUCUUCCUAGCAUAAGGCCUUAUACUCCACAAGGCAUUUUCAGCGAAGCUGUUUGUUUUGCGUGACACGAUGUAAACAGAAGUGGAUUUUCCAUGCACUCGGAUAUCUCCUUAUGUUUGGCAAUAUUCUGUCCUUGCUUCUGAAACACAUAGUGGUUGUUCUUGCUCUACAUUUCCGGUUUCUAAUUUUUCAACUGAAAAAUGAAGAAUGAUUAAGCCUUGCAGUUUCUAUUUGGGGGAGUACAGAGAGAUCAAUGUUAGUAUAUAUGGCAAAUCUACAAAUGGAGCUUAUUUGAACUAUAAGCUUUCAAGUCUCAAUCUAACUGAGACAAACAGAUGAUCUUACCUUCAGCUUUUGUAAGAGUGAUACCGGUUUCGUUGAUGAGAGUCUUUGUUGUAUUAUCUUCAACUGCAAAAUAAAGAAGUUUCUGUCAAAAUCAUUAGCCUCCACAAUCCUUAUGGUUACCAUAUUCCAAGUGUACUCUUGCCUAUAUUUAUUUUUAACUUUUUUUAUUGAACUUAAGGAAGUUAAGGUGUUCAUAUAUUUAAACCACAAGUAGAGCUGAUCUGAACUUGCCCUUACUAAUAUGAAUUUGUUAUUACCUUUAGCCAUUUGUGGAGAGAUUCUUGUGGCAUUCACAGGGCUCUUUGGUACAAUUCUUUCAUCUGACAAAUGAGAUAUUCAGUUCAGAUGGUUAAAUUAAAUGUUUACCUUAAAUCCUUUUAACCAUAUUGAGAUUCAAAAAUCUUACCUUCAAUCAUAUGUAGAGAAUUGUCAAUGUCUCCAACAAGUAUUUCGGUUACAAUGUCUUCAACAGUAGACCAGAGAAUAAUCACAUAAACAAACACAUGUCAGAAUCAUUUGGUUUCGAAAAGUGUAUAUAUUAUUCUUACCUGAAAAGGCCUUAUUGUAUUAACCUUUUUUUUUUUUGAAAUUCAGAACAUGAGUCUCUUUAGAUUGAUUUAUUUGAGCUUACUAACAUAAGCGCUUGUGAAAUUAUUUGAAAGAGCUUAUGAAAAUAACUUAUAACAUUUUUCAUAAAAUCUUUUCAGCUUAUUUAUAUAUGUUCUCCAAAAUAGCUUAUGAAAAUAUUCUAUAGUUUAUAUGGAAACAAUUUUAUUUAUUUUCUCUUCUUAUAUAAACAGUUUAUACAUAAGCACUUAUAUGAUAAUUGUUUAUGCUAUAAGCGCUUAAUUAAGUUGUUUGUCAAAGCAUGAGUUAUAUCUUUGGCUAUUUUACGUGAUCCACUAGUGUCAUUGACCAUCAACAUUUUGGUGUCAACACCAAUAGAUAGCUUCANNNNNNNNNNNNNNNNNNNNNNNNNNNNNNNNNNNNNNNNNNNNNNNNNNNNNNNNNNNNNNNNNNNNNNNNNNNNNNNNNNNNNNNNNNNNNNNNNNNNNNNNNNNNNNNNNNNNNNNNNNNNNNNNNNNNNNNNNNNNNNNNNNNNNNNNNNNNNNNNNNNNNNNNNNNNNNNNNNNNNNNNNNNNNNNNNNNNNNNNNNNNNNNNNNNNNNNNNNNNNNNNNNNNNNNNNNNNNNNNNNNNNNNNNNNNNNNNNNNNNNNNNNNNNNNNNNNNNNNNNNNNNNNNNNNNNNNNNNNNNNNNNNNNNNNNNNNNNNNNNNNNNNNNNNNNNNNNNNNNNNNNNNNNNNNNNNNNNNNNNNNNNNNNNNNNNNNNNNNNNNNNNNNNNNNNNNNNNNNNNNNNNNNNNNNNNNNNNNNNNNNNNNNNNNNNNNNNNNNNNNNNNNNNNNNNNNNNNNNNNNNNNNNNNNNNNNNNNNNNNNNNNNNNNNNNNNNNNNNNNNNNNNNNNNNNNNNNNNNNUAUAAGCGCUUAAUUAAGUUGUUUGUCAAAGCAUGAGUUAUAUAUUUGGCUAUUUUACGUGAUCCACUAGUGUCAUUGACCAUCAACAUUUUGCUGUCAACACCAAUAGAUAGCUUCAAGUUCACUGUGAAAAGAAGUAAAAGAUAUAUUCAAAGGUUACUUAUGUAAACUCAUUUCACAGAAAAAAAAACGAUUGGAUUUAUCUGCAUUUCAUGCCAAAGAACCAUAUAAAUGAAAAACAACUUGCAUGCUUAUUAUACUACUUAGACAUGCAUUAUAUAUGGAAACAAGUGGCUAAUGGUUAAUCACAUUACAAAGGAAGAAGUGAAGUAAGGCUUAAACACUUCACAGACUCAAAACUAUCAGCAAGAUGCCNNNNNNNNNNCUGAUUAAUAGCUGAUUAAUUGAUGCCCAUAUAUAAUAUCUUAGUAGGCAAAACUAAGAUUUUGAUACAUACUUUUAUAUAUAUGACAAAUGGAGGAAGGUGCAUAAAUUUAUCUAUACAAUGUUGCUCCUCACGUAGUUGUUAGUUCUUGAAUUAUAAGGAUUCUCCAAAACUAAUAAAAUUGGGAAUGAAAAGGACUCUGUGGUUGACUGUUAAGACAUAUAUGAAUCUUUUUCAAUGAUUAAUUGGUACAUGUUUUGGUUAGGUAAUUAUAGUUUUUUCAUAUAUGAAGCAAGAACUACCAGCCAGCUUUGAAAAUUAUUAACAUUAACCAACUAAAGCUUGGGUAAAAUGUUGAUAUCAAUUAUUGCAGUUUUAUUACCUUAGUUUUUUUCUUUUUGACAAAAGUUUUAUUGCCAUAGUUGGUGAGACAUAUAUAGCUCAAGUGAAAAAUCGUACUAGCUUGCUAUAUCAACCUUUGAAUGAACAAUAAAUAGCAGCUUUUUAUUUUAUUAAAUAAACAAUAUUCAUUCAAAUUAGAGUACAUUAAUUUAUAACCAAAUAUCUUUUUGAGUACAUUAAUAUAAUACAGAUUCAAAAUCGCAAAACCAAAACAAAUGAAUCUGUGAACAAACCCAUAACAUUCAUGUUAAUGCAUAUUUGAUCAUAUUGAAGUGUCCAGAAUAUUCAACUCUUUGAAUUUGUAGUGUUGACAUCAUUAAUUGGGUCUGCACUAGAUCGAGUUUAAUUUAAUCCUUCAACGUGAAACAAAUUAAUACUAUAUCAAUUAAAAUAGGAAAAUAAAAUACAUCGCACUAAAACUUAAAAUGAAAACAAACAACGACGCACUAAGAUGAUAAAAUCACAAAAUAAAUUGCAACUUAAGUAGUUAACUUAGUGUGAUUAAGUCCUUUGAAAGUUUUAUUCAAUGGCUUAUACGUACGUGACACGUUCGUAGUCAAGCUUAGGCUCUGUUUAGUAAAAUUAAACUAUAAGCUAGCUGAUAGCUGAAAAGCUAGCUGAUUGAAAUUAAAGUAUUUGGUAAAAUUAGCUUUUUAAAUGAUUGAUAAAUAUAAAAAGACAUAAAAGAACAUUUAUAUGUAGUGGGUAAUUUUUUUUAGUGGGUGGUUUUUUAUUUUAUAAAAAAUAAUAAAAUUAAAUUAAAGGUUAUAAAUGAAAAAAACUGUAAAAAGCUAUAAGCUAUAAGCUCAAACGUUACUUGAAAUAGCAGCUCAAAAAAAGCUAUAAGCUCGUGAGAAAAGUUUUUUACCAAACACUUUUAUUUUUUUUAAACAAACUUAUAAGCUAGUUCAAUAAACUAUAAGCUAGCUUAUUGGACUUCCAAACACACCCUAGUGUCUAGUACUAUAAGUUUUUCUAUUUUAGCAAAGACUAGAGAACUAGUAUAAGUUUUGUCACUCAAAGAAAAUAUAGUGACAUGACGCAAAGAAAUUUUGAAGACGAAUAAAUCUUCAAUGAUACACAUACUUAUAAUUCCUAGAUGGAGCUCACUGUAAAAGGCUCAAGAGAUGUUUGAAUAUCAAUAUUUUUUACAGAAAAUGAAUAGGUUGAAGAAGACUUCUUCAUGUAAAACCAUCAAAAACUUGUUGCCACAAAUUAUUAAUACUACUUAUUUUCUAGUUUAGUUAUUUAUUUAGUAAAUAUUGAUGCUAGGCGAAAUGUUGAUAGUGAAACAAAUAUAAUUUAAUAUUCAUAGUUCAAGAAAUUUUGAUUUCCAAUAAAAUUGCUAUGUAAUUGUGAUCUUGUGUUUACCUUUCAAUUUUGAUGUUGCCAGGUGUUCUUUUUAUUUUAUUUCGUUUCUAGAGGGUUAUAAUUCAAUGUUUAAGAGAAAAUCUAAGGAGAAUGAUUUUUUCUCCACCAAUAUUAUUAAUACAUAUUUAUAGUAAAAUAAUAAAUACAAAUUAAUUUGAAAUUAAAAUAUUUAAAAUUAAAUAUUAAUGUGUGACAUCGCACUAUAUGUGCAGUAGCUCAGGUUUGAACCAAACCCGAGACACUCCACUCAUUCACCUUUGAGAUGAAUUUUCUAGUCACUAGUCUACUUGACAAAAAAAAAAAUAAUGUGAGAGAAAUUAAAUAUAUGGACAUAUAGUUUAAUAUAGACUUAAUCUAAAUGUGAAAUGUACAAUACUAGUACGUUUAAUAUAGACUUAAUCUAAAUGUGAAAUGUACAAUACUAGCAUGUUAGCCCCUGCACGGGGUAAUUUUUUUUUUUUAAUAUUAGGCUUAACUAUACAUUUGGUCACUUGCAUUUAAGAAGCAGAAUAUUGCCAAACACAGGAAAAAUCCUCCAAUCCACAUUAUGUCACACAAAAUACAACAUAUCAUAACUAGUAAGAAGCCUUGGUGGAUUGUCAAACACCAAGCAUUUCUUGAAAAGCUGUCCACCUAUGAGAUUAUGGACAUUGUUUCUGUAAGGUGAUUGUUGGUCUUAAAAGGUAGUAUCAUAAAGGGCUAAGCAUUGACCCUCAAAAGUAUUCCUAUUCUAUCAAAGACUUCAGAGAUUUCUUGAGAAAUUCUUAUUCGCUGAAGAGAGUUAAUGCAAUCAAAAUCAGAGAUACCGNNNNNNNNNNNNNNNNNNNNNNNNNNNNNNNNNNNNNNNNNNNNNNNNNNNNNNNNNNNNNNNNNNNNNNNNNNNNNNNNNNNNNNNNNNNNNNNNNNNNNNNNNNNNNNNNNNNNNNNNNNNNNNNNNNNNNNNNNNNNNNNNNNNNNNNNNNNNNNNNNNNNNNNNNNNNNNNNNNNNNNNNNNNNNNNNNNNNNNNNNNNNNNNNNNNNNNNNNNNNNNNNNNNNNNNNNNNNNNNNNNNNNNNNNNNNNNNNNNNNNAUUAUUAUUGAUUAAUCAAAAUUAAUUAUGUUUUAAUGCAUCUUGUUAUAAUGUUAUCCAUUUUUAUAAGGGUCAUGUCCUGUUUGUCCUGAGGUUAAAAAAUCGUUAAAAAUAAUUUUCAGUCACCGAAGAGAUUACUGGAUUGAGUCGCGGGUCGAUACGCUCUCUUUAAGACGUUUCGCGGCACUGCCCAAAAUUGUGCAAGACAGACGAUCAACCACGAAGACAGUUCUACUGAUACCGAUAAAUACUGCACUGUAGAUAUCGGGCAAGAUUACACCCUCAAAUAUGGUACUAAAACCAUUGCGCUAUGAUUUUAAGUCAAUUCUAAUACGGUGCUAUGAUCGUUCUAAUAUGGUACUGAGACCAUUCUCUCAGGGUACUUGGACCAAUCUUAAAUCAAAGGGAUUAUGGUACUAUGACCAUUCUUAACUUGAACAAACUGUCAUAUUUUUAUCACUCUUAAAUAAGUUAAUACUAAUACUAGUAUUACUCAACACAUAAAAUAAACUUCAAUUUUGUUUAAUCAAUUAGGAACAGACAUAAUUAUAUAACGCAUAAUCAUGUAAAUAAGUCUAUAAUGUGACUAAAGCUUUUAUUCUAACUUUUAAUAUGGCACCAACCAUAUUAAGAAUCAACACAAAAUUAUUCCUCACUGGAUUCAUAAAUUGGAUAUGAAAAAUAACAUUUUUCUAUUAAACAGAUUCAAUUAAUGCACAAUAUAUUGGUUCAAUAUGAUAAGUGCAUAAGAGUCGAUCUGUCUCGCACAAGCAAAAGAGAAAAAAUCAAAACAAUUUCAACUUCAGGCUUGAACCACAUAUAGAUAUAUAAAGAUACCUGAACACAAUUGUAGAGCUUGGCACAUUUGUUUUUCGAAUUCAGAAGCUUAAAGGGCUUGAUAGAAAAUUUUGUAUACCUUGCAAGCUUUACCAACUUGAAAGGUCGUGUAAAAUUGAGGAAACAGUAGAACUUGAGAAGGAUAGUCACCAAGCCAAAACCUUCUUUCUAAGAGAGACAUUCUAGAGUGAGAACCAAUCUUACGAUACUUAGUCACUACUUCCCUAAUAAGUGGAAUAUUUUAUAAAGAGAAAUGGUCUACUGGUCGUAUAAAAAGGAAAAAGAGGUUAGCUCUUUUUAUGUUAUUUUUCACGUGUUGUUUAGCUACUAAAUAGGGUUAUUCUCAAGAAACAUAACACUACCACUGGUAUGCUCUCAAAGGAAAAAUAAAUAAAUAAUGAGUCAAUAAAGGAUUUAUUUUUUCAAAAUACACAUUAGUAUGUUACACAUGCUAGUAUACUCUAGUACCCGAUAUAUAUGAGACUCAAAUUUGUUCCAAGUCAUUAAAAUGUUGACAAUAUUAUAUUCCUUUUUUACAUAACUUUGUUUUAGAAAUACAAUCAUGUACAAAAAUUUGAAAGACCAAACAAAUUUUUUUUUUAAACUAUCUAAAUAAUAAUUAAAUCAUUAAUUUAAUUUAAAAAAGUAAUUAUAACUUUUUAGCAUAAAAUAAUCAAAAUUGGUUGAUUUCUUAUAUUUUCAUCCAUUUGUGUGAUUUUAAAAAAUAAAAUUAGUUAAAAGUCCAAAAAUAUCCAGGACUCGUUUGAAUUGAAUUAUUUUUAACUUAUACAAAUAAAUAAAUUUUUAUGUAUUAUAUUUAUUUAUAAGCUUGUAAAGGCAGUUUAUGAAAACAAAACUUAUAAAAAUACAAUUUUUGUUAGUAAGAAUUUAUGAAAUACUAUAAAAACUUAUUUAAUUGUCUAAGUUAUUUUUUUUUGGUCUAGUAGCCUAGUUGCUAGAAAUUCCAUUUUAAAUGUGAAUAAGUGGAGUGUCUGGGACUCGAACCUCGACUACCGCAUAUUAUAAGUUAUUUUUUAUUAGGUAAUUAAAAAAUGAACCAAUCUAAAUGGUCUAUUUGUUUAUUGCAAAUUAAAUUUUUUUUUUAUUACAAAUUAAAUUGUUUAUAAUUCAAUUAAACCUCCUUCAAAAAAAAUUAAAUAAUUAAACAAGACUCAGAUUAAUCAUAACUAAGCGGUGAUAUAAAAAUUUUGUAAGUUUCAUGGUAGAAAAUAAAUAAAUAAAAGCCAACAUCACUGGUAAGUAUCUGGCAUUCGAUUGGUUGAGUAUUGGCCUUUCAACAACAACUUGAUGCUUGUUGCAGAGAGUAGCUGGUUCGUGAACCGUUUUUGUGUUGGCAGUUGGUUCAUUCGCAUUCGAUCAUUUGGGACUUCUAUUUAGUCUUUUAAGAUUAAGUAGAAGUUGAUUUGUUUCAUUGUUAUACGAUACCGUGAACUUAAUGAGUUAGGUUUAUGUUCCCCCAAUUUUAUAUAUAGUUUUUUUUUUUAAUAUAAUAAAGAGAUGUAAACAAAAAAUGAAACGAAGGUAAAUAAAUAAAAGAAAUAUUUCUCAUAACUCGGUUGAUGAGAAUAUUUCAUGUAAUUAUUUAUUGUAAUUGUAAAGUAAAAGAUGAAAAUUCCAACUAUUAAAAUACUUACAAAUAAAAAAAUAAAAGAAAAAAAAAUAGUAGAGAGAGUGAGGGAAGAAAAGUGAUAGAAUGUUGUAGGUAGUGAGUGAGAGGGGUAUUUCAACACAAACGAAACGGUUAUUAGGGUUUUGUGAAUGGGGAAAGAAGACGAAGAAAUGAGAGGUGAAAUUGAAGAACGUUUAAUCAACGAAGAAUACAAAAUCUGGAAAAAGAACAGUCCUUUUCUCUACGAUCUGGUCAUCACUCAUGCUCUGGAAUGGCCAUCUCUGACCGUCGAAUGGCUUCCCGACCGUCAAGAACCAGCCGGAAAAGAUUACUCUGUUCAAAAACUGAUCCUCGGUACUCAUACUUCAGAAAACGAACCCAAUUAUCUCAUGUUAGCUCAAGUUCAACUUCCUCUCGACGAUUCCGAAAACGAUGCUCGUCAUUAUGAAGAUGAUCGUCCUGAAGUUGGUGGUUUUGGUUGUGCUAAUGGUAAAGUUCAGAUUAUUCAACAGAUUAAUCAUGAUGGUGAAGUUAAUAGGGCUCGUUAUAUGCCUCAGAAUCCUUUUGUUAUUGCUACUAAAACUAUUAGUGCCGAGGUUUAUGUUUUUGAUUAUAGUAAACAUCCUUCUAAACCUCCUCUUGAUGGUUCUUGUAACCCUGAUUUGAGAUUAAGAGGUCAUAAUACUGAAGGUUAUGGUUUGUCUUGGAGUACUUUUAAACAAGGUCAUUUGCUUAGUGGUUCGGAUGAUGCUCAGAUUUGUUUGUGGGAUAUUAAUGGUACUCCCAAAAAUCGAUCUUUAGAUGCUAUGCAGAUCUUUAAGGUACUUGUUUGUUUGUUUGUUUGAAGUGAAUUGUUUUAUUUGUUUGUUUAUGUUUUUGUUUUUUGUUUUAGGUACAUGAAGGUGUUGUUGAAGAUGUGGCUUGGCAUUUGAGGCAUGAGUAUUUGUUUGGUUCUGUUGGUGAUGAUCAGUAUUUGCUUAUAUGGGAUCUUCGAACACCGUCUGUUACUAAGCCUGUUCAGUCUUGUAAUGCUCAUUCAAGCGAGGUGCGUUUUUGUGUCUAAUCUAGGAAUUGGUUUUGUUAGAACAUGUGUUUGAUUUGAUGCAUUUUCGGAUUGUGAAAGCGGUUUGCGUCUUGAAAAUUGCAAGCUAUUUUGUGGAAAUUAGUGUGAGAAAUUAGAAAAUUUGUUAAAUUGAGUAUGACCUAGGGAUAACAUGCUAGGUGCAAUGAUACGGGGAAGUUGAAUUGCUUGAUAUGGCUUAUGGUGUGCCUCUAUAAGAAGGAAUUUGAAACACCAAUUUAUAGUAUUUGGUAAUCUCUUCUGAAAUUUAUAACUUCAUGAGAAUGUUUGACCUAUAGCCCAUCAAAACCUAGUCAUAUUAGAUGUAAAGGGAGUUGUGGUUCAACGCUGUGUUGAAAGACUUAUUUAGGGUUGGGUGGGUGAUGAUAUGAUAGAAAAUUGAAUGUGGAAAAGGCACAAAUUUGUAAUCAAGGUCAAUAUUUAAGAACUGGCCAUGACUCCACUCUGCUAUUAUACAUUGUGGCUCUAUUUCAAAUAUCUGGCUUUUCAUAUUUUCCUUGCUGAUUGAAAUUCCGAGUAUACUUGGAUUUUCUACCUGUUAGCUCUUUAUACGGUCUUCUCUAUUGUGUGUUAGUUCUCCUUUCUCUUCUGGCAGUGUUCCAGAGAUCUCACAAAGUGGAUACUCCUUCUCAAUACUGCUUCUAAUAAUGUUUUUCUUCUAUAUAUAUACAUAUGAUCUUGUUAGGUUAACUGCUAGGUGUUCAAUCCCUUCAAUGAAUGGGUGGUUGCUACUGGUUUGGAUUAGAAGGUCUUUUACUAUUGGUUUUCAAAGAAGUCUAAUAGUAUAGGGAUUGGUUUUGUUGUCAGAACAUGUGUUUGAUUUGAGUAUUUGUUAUGCAUGAUUUGAUUUAUGAUAAUGUGGAAAUUAGCGAGGAAUCGGAAAUUUUGUCAAAAUGAGCAUGGCCUGGAUAUAACUUGUUAGGUGGAAAGAUACGGGGACGUUUAACUGGUACCGCUUCAUAUGGUUUAUGAUAUGGUUUAUGAUGUGCCAUUGUGAAAGGGAAUUUGAAACACCAAAUUAUAUUUGGCCAUUGUUAUAAAUUCAUGAGAAUGUUUGACAUACCCCGACAGAAUCUAGUCAUAUUAGAUCUAAAGGGAGUUGGUGGUUUAACAUUGUGUUGAAAUACUUCAUUUGGGGUGGGUCGUAACUGGUAAUUGAUAUAAAGGGAGUUGGUGUUUCAACAUUGUGUUGAAAGACUUCAUUUGGGGUGGGUUGUAAUUGAUGGAUAAUGCACAAAUUUCUAAUCAUGGUCAAUGUUUGAGAACUGGCCAUGAAUCCAAUUCCAAUCUGCAGUUGUACAGUGGCUUUAUUUCACAUAUAUGGCUUUAUUAUUUUCCUUGCUGAUAGGAUUUCCAAUGCUACUCAGAUUUUCAAUCUGUCAGCUCCUUAACGUCUUUCAUAUUAUGCUUUAACUCGCCUUUAUCUUUCAGCAGUGUUCUAUAGUUUUCACAAUGCUGAUAUCGUUCUCAAUAUCACUUCUAAUAGCACUUUUCUUUAUAUAUUUACAUUGGAUCUUGUUAGGUUAACUGCUUGGCUUUCAACCCCUUCAAUGAAUGGAUAGUUGCUACUGGUUCUACUGAUAAAACAGUGAAAUUGUGGGAUCUGCGCAAGAUCACCAAUCCUCUCCACACCUUUGACUGUCACAAGUAACAUUCUCCUCAGAUGUUUCUAAUUUUACAUUAGAAGUAAUUAUAUUUAACAGUUAUUGAUCUGGAUUGUUGUUUUCGGCUUAACAGGGAGGAGGUUUUCCAGGUUGGCUGGAAUCCAAAGAAUGAGACCGUCUUGGCUUCUUGUUGUCUUGGUAGGAGACUCAUGGUGUGGGAUCUUAGCAGGUAUUGCUUGAUGAAAGCAUCACCAUAUCUGGACUUUAUAGCGAAUUUUUAUUUGUUGCACUGAAAUGUUUACGGAGUUUUGGUAUGUUAGUGGUUCACUAGAGAUGUUUAUAAAUUAUAAACCCUAUUGAUGGUCCUUCCCCUGGAUUAAAAUUUCUCUUACAUUUCAAUUGUUGGUUUUUUUAACCUCCCUCGAAUAAUGUGAUAUCUCACACCAGGUAAAUCCGUAACCCUUCCCCCUCUUACUAGUGGGUGAAUUAAAGCUCCACACUUUUUAGUGAAUUAAGUGGACAACAAAUUUCGUCUUUCCUGAGUUAUAUUAGGUUCUGUAAAUAUGAUAAUGAGAAUGAUCGAAUAUUGGGACAAAUCUUUAUCAAGGUUAACAUAGAUAUUAUAUCAGUUGCCGACACCCUUGUCCCCCAGUCCUUGGACUUUGAUUUAGCGUCUACUUUUGUUGUGGACAGGGGGCCAAUUGCAUGCAUCUGUUGAUUCUUUUGUUGGUAUAUCAUAUACGGGCAUCGGUACUUGUAAUGUACCUUCAACGUUUCAAGUUAAAAUGGCCAUUGCGUGUUGAUUUUCUGAUGAAAAUGAAUUAUUAAAAAAAAUACCAAUAUUUGAUUCAUAUAUUGUAUUAAUAAUCAUAUGUCAGAAUAUUUGCCAUAACAGUGUUGUUCACUCAUUUAUGUAGGAUUGAUGAAGAGCAGUCGCCGGAGGAUGCUGAAGAUGGUCCGCCAGAAUUGCUCUUUAUUCAUGGCGGUCAUACGAGCAAAAUAUCUGACUUCUCUUGGAACCCAUGUGAAGAUUGGGUUGUUGCUAGUGUGGCUGAAGACAACAUACUUCAAAUAUGGCAGAUGGCAGAGAACAUUUACCAUGACGAAGAUGAUAUGCCAGAACAGUCAGCGAAGGCCCCUUAAUGUAAUUUGACUGAGUUUAGUGUGGAAUAUAGGUUCAGUGUUUGGGACUCAGGUGCUUUUCCAUCUGUAUUUGUGCCGUUACUCCUUUUUACACAGUUGUAAGUGUAUGAGGUGUGAUUACCUUGUUUGUAACUGAAGAAAAUUCUGAAAAAUUUGCUUAAUGAGUUGUUUUAUUUAUCGUGGAGGUAUUAGACUUUUAUAGAUUUGGAUCAUUCUUUUGCUUCAAAAAGUUCUCAGUCCCUUUUAAGUUUUACCCGAGAUGACUGGCUUGCCAGAAUGCAUGAAAGCAAGUGACCUCUUUAAGCAUUUGGUUAGUAGUCUCGGUGGUUUAACCGUUUAAAUGAUCAAACCCCUUUUAAGAUGAACUUUGCAUAUUCCAGAUUCAUCGAGAAUGACCAAACCUUUUUCUUUGAGUUGUCCCCUACUCUAAAGAUUGUUCAUCAAGUCUGCCACACAGUAGAUUUUUGUUAGAACACAUGAAGAAUGGCAUGAUGUACAUCUCACAUUUCCGAGAGUAAUGUCAUUAAUGUCUUGUUUCCAGGUUUGACCACCUUCCUACAGCCGUCAUUUAGUUCAUAGAACAUGUUUGUCUCCACUUGUGUUAUUAGAGCAUCCAAUCUCAAGGAACCAAACAUAUAUUGCCACGUUUCAUACAUCUCCACGCGAGACAUCGGCUACUCUACCAUUUUUCCCUACUGCUAGAGCAACCAUCUUUACUUGGAACUGAUUCUCACUCUAUUAUUCUUCAAAUUUGUUAGGUCAUUUACAGUUAGAGAUUUGUAGCUCAUGAAUUCAGCAUAAUCAAGCAUCCUUGGACUCCUCAAUUGAGUCGCAAAUGGAGUCUAAUUUUAAUCUGUUAUUAAAGGAUUUGAAGAUUUUCUGUCAUCUUCACAGGUCCCAUGUUCUUCCCUUGUGCUCUGAUUUUAUUAGCAACAAGGAUGACCUUGGCAAAGUCAUAAGUGACCCCAUCACCCAAUUUUAAUGCCUAGCUCUUCAAACUUCCUUCUUUAAGCUUAGAGGAUGGAACUAUUGACUCUUGCAUUGCCUUCACAAUUUUUUAUCGAAGAGAUUUACUUUUGCCAUCUUACUGGUUUUCAGGUGCGCCCUACAAAAUUACCAAUAUAUCUCUGUCUACUACUUAAGUAACAAAAUGAAUUCGUGACUUAAGUAGCGGAUGCGUUAAAAUUUGUUAGUUUUUUAAAAAGUAAGUAGCGGACGUUGAUUUGAUAGUAAAAUUAACAAAAAAGUACAACAUUAUAUAAAAUUCAGGAGAAUUGUAACAACAAUUUAUUAUACUACAUAAUAUAAAUAUUAUUACAUUAUUACAAUUGAUUACAUUCACCCAUAAAUAUUAUUGUCUAAAUAAAUUGACGAAAAUUACAUUUUAAAGAAAUACAAAAAGAAAAAAAUGAUUAAUCAUAAUGAUCAAUCUUGUUGGGAGGUUAUAAAGCACUUUAUAACACCUCCCCAUUUUGGGAGUAAAAAAGGGAUCCGUCCCUUCUGAUUAAUCAUAAUGAUCCUAAUAUAAGGGUCUGUUUGGUUCGAAGUAGAUCGAGGGGAGGGGAGAUGAGGGGGUAAUCUUGACAAAAAAAAAAUCUUUUUAUUAAAUAAUUUUUUUAAUAAAAAAAAAACGUUUUUUAUUCUUGAAAAAAAAAAUAAAAAUCAAGGGAAUAUUCUAUGAAUUUAAAAUAUUCAACAUUUUUUUUAUAAAAAAAUGAUUUAAUAAAAAAAUGAUUUAAUUCUGUCAAAAAAAUGAUUUAAUAAAAAGAAACGUUUUCGGUCAAGAUUACCCCAUCACUUCCCCUCCCCUCCAUCUACUUCGAACCAAACAGACCCUAAAGAGGCCUCAAAAAGUCCCUCGCCGAUUAACAUAAUGAUCCCAAUCGCCGCCAUCAAAGAACAUGCGUAAGAUCAUUAUGAUUAAUCGACGACGAACAUUGAAGCCGUUAACGCCUAACAAAACAAAACUACAACAAACAGUACACUAAAAUUUUUUUGAGAAGAAAUGGAAGAAGAAAUGAGAAUGAGAAAAAAUGAAAGGGGAGAGUUCAAUUUAUAGAAUUCUUGCUUGAAUUGCAUUGGCCGAAAAAGGAAACAGCCUCACUAAUGACCAAUUAAACUCCACCACCGUCCUUGACCAUUGUCUAUUACUAAAGACCACAAAAAUUUUGAGCACCGUUCAUCCGCUAUUUAAGUAGCGGACGUACUGCGUCGUGUGUUCAGCGACUUAAGUAGGGGACGACCGGUGCUCAGAAUUCGUUGAGGUGAAUGCAUAUACCGUAGUGUGUUCUGCGUUUUGUGGGCCCCAUGUGAAUGAAAUGAGUCACAAAUAUCUCCUUUAAAGAGUUCCUUAUAUGCUGUAGGCAAUGCACCAAGGUGUAGUAGUCCUGCAAAGGGAGAUUGUUAUUAAUAUGUGGACGACAUCAUGACAUGAAAAAUAGUAAUGGACUUAGCAUAGAAAUGAGUUACUUAUCUUGUGACAUUUAAUCAGUCCGAAACAUAUACAAAUAAUAUUUUUCGUCAUUCAUUAAUAAUUGUUUUUCAUAUCUAUUACAAAAGACUAAAAUAUAAAUAAAAAUAUAUAAUGAAGUUUUAUAAUUAAAAUAUUAACAAGUGACUUCUUGUUACUCCUACGUGCUAAAAGUUGCGUGAGCUAUUGAAUUACGCGACAUAUUAAUUGGAGACAUUUAACAUUAAUUUAAAUUUUAUAAAAAUGGCUUCUUGCAAGUCCUAAGUGCUAAUUUUUUUAAUAGCAAAACAUUUUACUUAUAAAUCGUUUAAAAACUUUCAUUUACAAAAUGCAAAAUAAGAAAAAUAUGACUAACAUCAACAUGUUUAUUUGUGCUUUGAUCAUCUUUCUUUUUACGUUUCUUAAUGAACUCUCCGCUUNNNNNNNNNNNNNNNNNNNNNNNNNNNNNNNNNNNNNAAUGCAGCUGAUAUCCCUUGCGAAUCUGACGAUGAUUGUCCAGUAUCAAUAGGGAUAAAACGUUUUACGUGGGUGUGCCAUAAAGGAUUUUGUGAGUUAAUUAAAUUUAUACCUUUUAGGAUAUAAUUUUAUGUGAUUGUAGUAGUGUUUGUGCUUUUAUAAUUUAUUGCAAAAUUUGAUUUAUCUUUUUUAGUCAUUCAAUUUAUAUUAUGCAAGUAAUUUUAUCUUUCUUUGCUCAUAGAAGAUAUAGUAAACAACAACAUAACUACAUAGUUUUUUUGUUUUUUGGUUUACAAUGAGCUGGAGAUCGAACCCAGGACCUAUAAUAUAUUAUCGAAACCCCUCAUCACAAGAUCAAACCUAGUUGCUUAAUAUAACUACACAGUUAUUAAUUAAUAAAGUUAGCUUAAUAAAUAAAUCCAUUUUCAUGUAUAUUUUGCCUGUCACCAAAUUCUCUUUUUCGCAAA
rnacentral:lncRNA from 1 species